rnacentral:rRNA from 1 species
UACGUAGGGCGCAAGCGUGUCCGGAUUUAUUGGGCGUAAAGAGCUCGUAGGCGGCUCGUUGCGUCGGCUGUGAAAAACCCGCAGCUCAACUGUGGGCUUGCAGCCGAUACGGGGCGGGCUGGAGUUCGGUAGGGGAGACUGGAAUUCCUGGUGUAGCGGUGAAAUGCGCAGAUAUCAGGAGGAACACCGGUGGCGAAGGCGGAUCUCUGGGCCAUUACUGACGCUGGAGGAGCGAAAAGCGUGGGGAGCGAACAGG